rnacentral:rRNA from 1 species
UUAAGCGACUAAGCGUACACGGUGGAUGCCCUGGCAGUCAGAGGCGAUGAAGGACGUGCUAAUCUGCGAAAAGCGCCGGCGAGGUGAUAUGAACCUUUGACCCGGCGAUGUCCGAAUGGGGAAACCCAGUGCAAUUCGUUGCACUAUCGUUAACUGAAUACAUAGGUUAACGAGGCGAACCGGGGGAACUGAAACAUCUAAGUACCCCGAGGAAAAGAAAUCAACCGAGAUUCCCCCAGUAGCGGCGAGCGAACGGGGAGGAGCCCAGAGUCUGAAUCAGCGUGUGUGUUAGUGGAAGCGUCUGGAAAGUCGCACGAUACAGGGUGAAAGUCCCGUACACGAAAGCACACAGGCUGUGAACUCGAAGAGUAGGGCGGGACACGUGGUAUCCUGUCUGAAUAUGGGGGGACCAUCCUCCAAGGCUAAAUACUCCUGACUGACCGAUAGUGAACCAGUACCGUGAGGGAAAGGCGAAAAGAACCCCGGCGAGGGGAGUGAAAAAGAACCUGAAACCGUGUACGUACAAGCAGUGGGAGCACCCUUCGGGGUGUGACUGCGUACCUUUUGUAUAAUGGGUCAGCGACUUAUAUUCUGUAGCAAGGUUAACCGAAUAGGGGAGCCGAAGGGAAACCGAGUCUUAACUGGGCGUUAAGUUGCAGGGUAUAGACCCGAAACCCGGUGAUCUAGCCAUGGGCAGGUUGAAGGUUGGGUAACACUAACUGGAGGACCGAACCGACUAAUGUUGAAAAAUUAGCGGAUGACCUGUGGCUGGGGGUGAAAGGCCAAUCAAACCGGGAGAUAGCUGGUUCUCCCCGAAAGCUAUUUAGGUAGCGCCUCGUGAACUCAUCUUCGGGGGUAGAGCACUGUUUCGGCUAGGGGGUCAUCCCGACUUACCAACCCGAUGCAAACUGCGAAUACCGAAGAAUGUUAUCACGGGAGACACACGGCGGGUGCUAACGUCCGUCGUGAAGAGGGAAACAACCCAGACCGCCAGCUAAGGUCCCAAAGUCAUGGUUAAGUGGGAAACGAUGUGGGAAGGCCCAGACAGCCAGGAUGUUGGCUUAGAAGCAGCCAUCAUUUAAAGAAAGCGUAAUAGCUCACUGGUCGAGUCGGCCUGCGCGGAAGAUGUAACGGGGCUAAACCAUGCACCGAAGCUGCGGCAGCGACGCUUAUGCGUUGUUGGGUAGGGGAGCGUUCUGUAAGCCGUUGAAGGUGUGCUGUGAGGCAUGCUGGAGGUAUCAGAAGUGCGAAUGCUGACAUAAGUAACGAUAAAGCGGGGUGAAAAGCCCGCUCGCCGGAAGACCAAGGGUUCCUGUCCAACGUUAAUCGGGGCAGGGUGAGUCGACCCCUAAGGCGAGGCCGAAAGGCGUAGUCGAUGGGAAACAGGUUAAUAUUCCUGUACUUGGUGUUACUGCGAAGGGGGGACGGAGAAGGCUAUGUUAGCCGGGCGGACGGUUGUCCCGGUUUAAGCAUGUAGGCGGAGGUUCCAGGUAAAUCCGGUACCUUUUAACGCUGAGGUGUGAUGACGAGGCACUACGGUGCUGAAGUAACAAAUGCCCUGCUUCCAGGAAAAGCCUCUAAGCAUCAGGUAACACGAAAUCGUACCCCAAACCGACACAGGUGGUCAGGUAGAGAAUACCAAGGCGCUUGAGAGAACUCGGGUGAAGGAACUAGGCAAAAUGGUGCCGUAACUUCGGGAGAAGGCACGCUGACAUGUAGGUGAAGCCCCUGCGGGUGGAGCUGAAGUCAGUCGAAGAUACCAGCUGGCUGCAACUGUUUAUUAAAAACACAGCACUGUGCAAACACGAAAGUGGACGUAUACGGUGUGACGCCUGCCCGGUGCCGGAAGGUUAAUUGAUGGGGUUAUCCUUCGGGGAGAAGCUCUUGAUCGAAGCCCCGGUAAACGGCGGCCGUAACUAUAACGGUCCUAAGGUAGCGAAAUUCCUUGUCGGGUAAGUUCCGACCUGCACGAAUGGCGUAAUGAUGGCCAGGCUGUCUCCACCCGAGACUCAGUGAAAUUGAACUCGCUGUGAAGAUGCAGUGUACCCGCGGCAAGACGGAAAGACCCCGUGAACCUUUACUAUAGCUUGACACUGAACAUUGAGCCUUGAUGUGUAGGAUAGGUGGGAGGCUUUGAAGCGUGGACGCCAGUCUGCGUGGAGCCAACCUUGAAAUACCACCCUUUAAUGUUUGAUGUUCUAACCUGGCGCCGUGAUCCGGCGUGGGGACAGUGUCUGGUGGGUAGUUUGACUGGGGCGGUCUCCUCCUAAAGAGUAACGGAGGAGCACGAAGGUUGGCUAAUCCUGGUCGGACAUCAGGAGGUUAGUGCAAUGGCAUAAGCCAGCUUGACUGCGAGCGUGACGGCGCGAGCAGGUGCGAAAGCAGGUCAUAGUGAUCCGGUGGUUCUGAAUGGAAGGGCCAUCGCUCAACGGAUAAAAGGUACUCCGGGGAUAACAGGCUGAUACCGCCAAGAGUUCAUAUCGACGGCGGUGUUUGGCACCUCGAUGUCGGCUCAUCACAUCCUGGGGCUGAAGUAGGUCCCAAGGGUAUGGCUGUUCGCCAUUUAAAGUGGUACGCGAGCUGGGUUUAGAACGUCGUGAGACAGUUCGGUCCCUAUCUGCCGUGGGCGCUGGAGAAUUGAGGGGGGGCUGCUCCUAGUACGAGAGGACCGGAGUGGACGCAUCACUGGUGUUCGGGUUGUCAUGCCAAUGGCAUUGCCCGGUAGCUACAUGCGGAAGAGAUAAGUGCUGAAAGCAUCUAAGCACGAAACUUGCCCGAGAUGAGUUCUCCCUGAGACUUAGAGUCUCCUGAAGGAACGUUGAAGACGACGACGUUGAUAGGCCGGGUGUGUAAGCGCAGCGAUGCGUUGAGCUAACCGGUACUAAUGAACCGUGAGGCUUAACCUU